AAGAGGGAAAAGGCUUCCGUUUAUGUAGCAUAACAAUGGACCAAAACAAAAGCAGAAAUCAUUUUACUCAUGCUUAGAAAGAAAAGACGUCAAGAGGAUGGAGGACUCACAUUCUGUUAACUCUUCUGCCUGUGAGCUUUUCCCAUGUGAUCUCACAGUGUAAAGUACUCCUUUCAAAGCAGUACCGCAUUACGAAAUCUGCAAAUCCCAGAAGUCAAUAACCUGAAGACACGCCAGGAGCAGUGAAGAAAACAAGUGUCAUGAGAGAUGAGGCAAUAAAGACAGCAAGCUGAGGAGGAGGCUGUUUUCAAGCCACUGACCAGGAUACACAGUAGGUA
rnacentral:lncRNA from 1 species